GGGAAAGUCCGUAGCCUACUUAUUCUUUGCAUUCAAUUGAAGAGCAUUGAAGAGAAUUUCGCCCGGGAAUGUGAUAACACCUGUGUUUGGAGUUAAUGUUUUAAAAUAAUCUUCUCUUGAAUUUGGGUAAAGUAGUCAAUUGGAAAGCGAUAGAACUGAGCAAGCGGGGUGCAGGGAGAGAGAAAGCCCACAUUGCUGUACCGGGAGAAAUAACGAAUGUUUUGAGUACACGAAGCGUAAAACUGUGUGCUACUGCGAUUCGUACUGUCAGAAAACAGGGGACUGCUGCGAGGACUAUCGGCAUGUUUGUCAAAUAUCUGGUGAGUGGUUGCUUUUUUUCAUAAUCCCGUUUCGUCAGUCAUUCUCAUAAAUAUUGUUAUAAGCAUGUUCAAAAGUUUCCGUCAUUAAAAGGCUACAUGUUUUCAGUCAGUAUGCUUAUCAGCUAACUUAAAAAACGCUCUGCUUUUAUAGAUAUGGUGAAUAAUUUAAAAAGGUAGUGUAAGAUAUUAAUGGCAUUGGCCUAAGUCUGGAAGCGAGAUGUCUACUGGUUUUACCUAGGUAUUAGAAUACCCCUUACGAAAAAAAAGGUGUCAGUACACUUCUCCCAACAAUUUUUUUACUGCAGUAAUUUUACUGUAAUUGCAAUUACUGUAUGUAAAACACUAAUGUCUACGUAAGUUACUACACAAGGCAAGGUUUUUAAGGCUAAUUGUGCUUGCCGCUAUGUGAAACAGUUCUAACAUCAGAAAUCUA
ensembl:lncRNA